GCCUUUGGCUUUGUGUCUUCUAACAAGGAAACACUACUUAGGCUUAUAAAAUCCGGUUGCGGUUUAAGUUCUUAUACUCAAUCAUACACAUGACAUCAAGUCAUAUUCGACUCCAAAACACUAACGAAGCUUCUCAAAGCUUUCAUGGUGUAGCCAAAGUCCGUAUGAGUCUUUAGCUUUGUAUCUUCUAACAAGGAAACAUUACUUAGGCCUUUAAGAACCGGUUGCGAUUUAAGUUCUUAUACUCAAUCAUACACAUGACAUCAAGUCAUAUUCGACUCCAAAACACUAACCAACCUUCUUCUUGCUUCUCAUAUCUUUCAUGGUGUAGCCAAAGUCCGUAUGAGUCUUUGGCUUUGUUGUUCUAAGAAGGAUACAAUUCUUACGCCUUUAAGAUCGGGUUGCGGUUUAAGUUCUUAUACUCAAUCAUACAAAUGACAUCAAGUCAUAUUCGACUCCAAAACACUAACCAACCUUCUUCUUGCUUCUCAAAGCUUUAAUGGUGUAGCCAAAGUCUGUAUGAGUCUUUGGCUUUGUGUCUUCUAACAAGGAUACAAUUCUUACGCCUUUAAGAUCCAGUUGCGGUUUAUGUUCUUAUACUCAAUCAUACACAUGACAUCAAGUCAUAUUCGACUCCAAAACACUAACCAAGCUUCUUCUAGCUUCUCAAAGCUUUCAUAGUGUAGCCAAAGUCCGUAUGAUUCUUUGGCUUUGUAUCUUCUAACAAGGAAACAUU
rnacentral:sRNA from 1 species